rnacentral:lncRNA from 1 species
CCACUGCCCCUGCAGAUUGACGCCCCGUCUGGCUCAUCUUCGCUGCCGCCCAGCUCUCCACGUCAUCUCCGUUGUCGCCCAGCUCGCCAUGUCUGCAGGUCAACGCAUGCAGAUCCAGCAGCCGCCUCUUAGGCUCUCCGUCGUCGCCUUAUUGGAUCUCAGACGCCUUACCUGCAUUGACUGCGUAUGCCGUUCCAAUCCGUCCGCCCGCAAGAUCAACGCGCGUGCUGCCCAAUCUGCAAGUCUGUGCGCAGCCAUGCAGAUGUGCUGCUCUCCUACUGCUCACAUGUGUAGCCUAUGCCUAGCACGUGGCUGCUGCCCUCCAUCCAACGUGUAUGUGCUUGUUGCUGCUAUUGCUACGCCCUCAUUUGCCUGGUGCUCCUCUUUGCUGCUCCUUUGUCAACAUCUCAUUUACAGUCUGCUUUCACGAUGGCUUUUGCAUCUUCGUCUAGUAUAUGCUUCCUAGCUCUUUAGUUUUUUAUAUUUUUUGCUGCGUUCAUCAAAUCCGUUGAUAUUUUUUGCUUCUCAUGCCAUGCGAGUCCACCAUAUCAUUGUCCGUCAGCCUUUCUCCCGUCCUGAUCCUUUCUAUACAACUUUUGUGGCCUACUUGCCCUUGUUGUUUUCCAUAGGAUUUUCUAGACUCCUUUUGCAUUGUCGAUCUACGCCCAUCGCGCCUUAACCGCCGAGCUUCUUUCGUCGUCGGUUGUCAUGGACUAUGAUUUUCUGCACAAUGCUUUAUUCUCUUUGCAUUGUUGAUCUAAGCCUAUUCUCUUGCCGUCGAGCUUCUUUCGCCGUCGGUUUUCAUGGGCAAUGAUUCUUUAAGCAAUGCUUCAUUCUCUUGAUGUGUCAUCUUUCUUUGACAACCCAUCUUCUCUUGAUACUUAUGUUGUAUCUUCAACCCAUCUUCCUCUGAUGUGCCAUCUCUUCGUUAUACCCUUUGGCGACUCGACAGGUUUUGAAGACUCUUCAUGCUACGACCACUCUCAAGACACGGAUUUGGAUUACCAUUUUUUCUAGUAUUACACUUCUUCAAAUGCAAUGUUGUUGCAUACGCUUUGCAUUUGAGGGGGGUGUUAGGAAGUAUUAGUAUUGGUGUAGGAGUCCUAUUAGUCUAUGUUUACUUUCCUUGCACCUCAGAUCUUCUGUAAUAUAUAUAUGCCCCUUGGGCCUUCAAUAAAGAUAAGUUGCUUUCCUAACACAGUGGAGCAACCACACUAAAGCAGAAGCAACAUGGGAGCGUGAAGACUACCUCAGAUCCGAGUUUCCUUCUCUUUUUAGCGCCUAGCCUAGGAAUCUCGGGGACGAGAUUCUUGUAAGGGGGAUAGGUUAUCACACCCUGUGUUUGUACCAAUUUUGCCACGUGUUGUUUUUAUAAAAAUUGGGACCAAUUAAAACUUUUUGCAUGUUUGUGAUGAUUGAUUUUGUUGCAACUUGCUUGUGUGACUGAUUGAGUUUUUGAAUCACUAUAGUUGUUCUUCUCUCUAAAACCUACCUCCUUGACCCCAAGCCCUUGCCCAAUGAUCAUGCCAUGUGAAUGAACCUAGAAAACCAUUUUUCUAAAUUAUUAUUUUUAUAAAAGGCAUUUAAUCAUUUCAAAUUCUCCAAAACCCCUGAUUCACCAAAGACUUUAUUUGAACCCCAUUAUUCAAAAGACUUACCAAAACCACAACGUAACUAUUUUUAAAGUUAUUUUCCUAUUUUAUAUAAAUACAUUUUUUGAGGCUAGAAAUGUUAUUUCAUAUGGAAAAAUUAUUUUCUUGCUUCAAAAAUAUUUGAGAAAAUUUAGGGAAACACAAUGUACAUAUAUUUUCCAUACAUAAGAGUUUCAACACAUGGUCAUGUUCAAAAUAUUGGACAAAACCCCUCAAAACCCUUUCUGCCUAUUUCAGGCUUUUGAAAUAUUUCCAUAGGAACUAUUCUCAAUAAAUUUCAGGAAAAUUCUAGUAAGUCAUAGGUGGCGAUCCUGCAAAGUUUCAUCUCAAUUCAAGUUGAUUUGAUCCACCUAUUAAUCCCAAAACUCUUUCUAUCCAGAACAAAAUUUGAGCAACUNAGUUGCUCAAAUUUUGUACUGAACAGAAAGAGCUUUGGGAAUAAUAGGUGGAUCAAAUCAACUUGAAUUGAGAUGAAACUUUGCAGGAUCACCGCCUUUAUCAUGUAUGACUUGCUAGAAUUUUCCUGAAAUUUAUUGAGAAUAGUUCCUAUGAAAAUAUUUCAAAAGACUGAAAUAGGCAGAAAGGGUUUUAAGGGUUUUGUCCAAUAUUUUGAACAUGACCAUGUGUUAAAACUCUUAUGUAUGAAAAAUAUAUGUCCAAUGUGUUUCCCUAAAAAAUUUCAAAUAUUUUUGAAGCAAGAAAAUAAUUUUUCCCUAUGAAAUACCAUUUCUAGCCUAAAAAAAAGGUAUUUAUAUAAAAUAGGAAAAUAACUUUAAAAAUAGUUACGUUAUGGUUUUGGGAAGUCUUUUGAAUAAUAGGGUUCAAAUAAAGUCUUUGGUGUAAAACAUCCCCCCUAAAUUGGGGACUUGCAGUACAAAUCCCAAUCAGGAGUUUUGAAGAAUUUGAAAUGAUUAAAUGUAUUUUAUAAAAAUAAUAAUUUAGAAAAAUGGUUUUCUGGUUUCAUUCACAUGGCAUGAUCAUUGGGCAAGGGGUUGGGGUCAAGGAGGUAGGUUUUAGAGAGAAGAACAACUAUAGUGAUUCAAAAACUCAAUCAGUCACACAAGCACCAAGUUGUAUAUUUGUGGGAGUUGAUUUGAUCACCUUGGUCCAUAGAAAUCUGAUUAUGUCCAUUUCUAGGGUUUUUCAUGUCUACAUUGUCAACUUUGUUCAAAUGAGCUCAAACUUGGUGAAUCCUACUGAUUUUGCCCAUCAUUUAAUCCUGUUAAAUCUCACUGCAAGUGGUGAGGUUUAUCUUGCUCAAACCAGCAUCAAACACCUUAGUGAUUUGGUAAAACUGCUACUUUCACCUCUGACACUAUUCUCCUUCACUCCAAAUUUUUACCACAAGCCCACAGAGUUACUCUUCACCUGCAGCAGGGAGAUCCAGCUCUGGUUCAAUGUUAGGAGACCACAAUUAAGCCACUCUCUUCACCUACAGCAGGGAGAUCCAGCUCUGGUUCAAUGUUAGGAGACCACAAUUAAGCCCCUGAUUCACCCUCGCAGAGACUUUCUUCCCCUCUUCCUUUGACCACAGCCUCCCUCCUCUGCUCCAAAGCAUCCAAGGGGCAUCUCCACAUCCCCCAGACACUAGAGGACAAGGUGGGACGCGCCAGAGCGCGCCAGCAGCAGCAUGUCAUGUCAUGCCAAAACUGCGCUCUGGACGCGCUACAGUGCGGAUGCACACUGUGGGAGGCCACCCCCGACCAGCUUUGGACCCCUCCGGCUGUCCCCCGAGGCCCCCUUGACGGCAAAGGCCCUGCGUCAUGUCGUGCCCCUCCUUUCUCCCUUCUCCUCCCCCCUACAACUCUUGCCC